rnacentral:ncRNA from 1 species
GACUGGGGUAGUACACCUGCCAAAGCUUAACACAGGUGUCCUAAGGCAAGCUCAGGGAGGGCAGAAACCUCCCAUGGAGCAAAAGGGCAAAAGCUCACUUGAUCUUGAUGUCAGGACGAAUGAAAGAUCUCCCUCAGUAGAGG